AACGAACGCUGGCGGCAUGCCUAACACAUGCAAGUCGAACGAGACCUUCGGGUCUUUUGUCGCCUGGGUGCGUCACGCGUGGGAACCUGCCCUUAUGUUCGGCAUAACUCUCCGACAGGGGUGCUAAUACCGGAUCAUGUCUUCGGACCAAAGAUUUAUCGCCCUUGGAUGGGCCCGCGUUGGAUUAGCUGGUUGUUAGGGUAAUAGCCUACCAAGGCGACGAUCCAUAGCUGGUCUGAGAGGAUGAUCAGCCACACUGGGACUAAGACACGGCCCAGAAUCCUACGGGAGGCAGCAGUGGGGAAUAGUGGAAAAUGGGGGAAAGCCUGAUCGAGCAAUGACGGGUGAGUGAUGAAGGCAUUAGGGUAGUAAAGCGCUUUUACCCGGGAUGAUAAUGACAGUACCGGGAGAAUAAGCUCCGGCUAACUACGUG
rnacentral:rRNA from 1 species